AACAGCGUUACAGUGUCAUGUCCUACAGGUAAAGGUGACCCAGGUCCUACAGUUGAAAGUGGCUCAGGUCCUACAGUUGAAAGUGGCCCAGGUCCCCGUACAUUCUUUGGCUUUGAUUUCUGGGUAAUGGUGGGCAUUUUGGCAGGUUCAGGAGCCCUUCUGCUGCUGCUGCUAUGUGUUCUAAUCAUCUGUGUAUGUCGAAGCUGUAGCCAACACAAGCACCAAAAAGAUGAGGGGGAGUUCAGGCUGAGGAAUCUUCAAGCUCCAGCUCCUACCAAAACAGAUCCAAACACAGAGGAAACAUCUGAUUACGACUAACCACCUGAGUGUUCAUACUUCCCUAAUUUAAGAUCUGCGGACCCGGAUAUGGGUCCAAAAUUGUGUUAAAAAUGUUUAUGCUUCAUUUAUAUAGCCUUGCUUAUAUGGUAUCAGCCCAUAUAUGGGUUCAUUUGAAACCUUAGACUCUGUUCUUUACAGAGAUGCUACAUAAAGCAGGAAAAUAAUUAAGUUUAGAAAUGCAUUCGUGCCACACACAAAUUUCCGCCUAACGAUUACAAAGAAUUUUUCCUAAGAAUGUGAAUCUUAUAUAUUUUUCACAAAACAUUCAAGUCAUAUAUCACAAAAAAAAAGCUCUCAUUCUCAGGAAUUUGACUGGAGAUUAUUUCAUUGUGUGACAAUCACAGAUUGAAUGAUCUCCAAUAGAAUCAUGAUGUGAAAUUUGUUACCUCUGAGCAAACUUUCAUAUGUGUCACAUUCCUAGUUGUACUUCUGCUUCAGUCAGCCGGAAACAGCCAAAAACUGUAAUAUAUUUUAGAUUAUGAUCUCUUCUUUCAAACAAAACCAUUUUCACGUUUCUGCGUGCUUCCAUCACUGAGAUAUAUUGCUUUUUGUCUUGAUGAGCACCAGGAAAUAAAAGAUGCAGUUUUUGCCAAGCGGCUCUUAUCUUUUACAACUCUGAGCUGCCCAGUGGACUGCAGUAGGUCAGAAUACGUCACUCUAGCUCGGUGGCUAUUCAGAGCUGUGAAAUUUGACACCUCUGGGUCUACAGAGGGGAGGGUGAGCGGGUGGUCAGAGAGAGCAUCCGGGGCAGCACUGCAGCGGUGUUGUGGUCGGGAUUUGUAGUUUUUGGACUGUUUUGAAGGCGAGAAUAGCACACAGAAAGGCUAGCGCAUUGGGGGAUUGAUAAUAGCAAUCUAUGGACAUUAUAAUAAAAGUUAUAGAUGAUGAAGAACGUUCAGCGGCACUGUGGAGAGGAAUGAACGCGCGUCUGGUGAGGGUUUAUGAGCGUGUUUGCUCCGUUUUUGAUAGAAUCUCUAUUUUGAAACGUGAAAGCACGUUUAUUAAAAUUUAAAGCACAAAUAUUAAAAUGUAAUGGAUUUAACACCGUAAAGUGAAAUGUCAGCAGGCCGUUUAUUACAUUACAUAUUUUAAACAGUGUUGUUCAAUAAAACCAUGUAUUUACUUGGUUUUGAUAUUUUAUUUGAACCAAUUAUUACUGCCUCAUCGUUAGUUUUUAUGAAUAACUCUAUUUACUAAAGCCUGGUUUUCACUUCAAUCUAUUUGUGUUACUAAAAAAUAUCAGAUUACUCAAUUGACAAAAUAAUCAGUAGAUUGCUAGAUGAUCAAAAUAAUCAUCAGUUACAGCCUUAGAUUAGUUAAAAUAUUUCAAAAUACUACUGCAUUGUUUUACUUUUUGUAAUUAAAAGACAGGUAUUUUGUCACUGAAAAUUUCUUAAAUAUUCUAUUAAAAUGUCUCGUUAUAGGGAACCAAGUAUCU